AUGCAGGAGAAGAAAGCUCUGAAGGAAGAAAAAUUGAAGCAAGAGGAGAAAUACACAUGGGCUAUUGUCGACGGUGUUAAAGAGAAGGACAAUGAAUUCUUACAUGAUGUCUUUGGUUUCACACCCAAGAAAAAGCUUAACAACGGUGAGCACAGAAUGUCUGGUGGUGAAAAGAGGAUGUUCAAGUCACCAAAUUCUGUUUUGAACAAGGCUAGGACCCAAUUACUUAACAAGCAGCGGGUAUUAUCGGAGGGAAGGAACUUCGGGCAUUAUUCAGUCAGUAUGGGAGAUGAUGAGACAUGA